AUUCCCACCUGCCUGCUGGGCGGCUCCUGAGGCCAGGGCUUGCUGCGUCCUGCUGCGCAGGCCGGCCAGGGGAGAGGCCACUGCUGCAGCUUGCUUAGGAAGGCUGGUGGGGAAGCUCUGGCCUACGCUGGCCUCUGACGUGCUGAGAAGAUCACAGGGCAGGCGGGGAACUGUGCAGCCUGGAAAAGCCCCGACAGCAGGAGGGCGAUGCGGGUCUCUGCCAAAGAGAGGUGACAUCUGAGGCACCGUGGAGGGGAAUACAGGGUUAUUGUCCUGUCAAUCCGUGGUCCCUGAAGUGUCAUCUGGCUGAGUGAGCACACAGCUGUCAUUCUGCAAAGCACCAUGAGGGUCCUUAAAGGAAGAGACUUACGGGGGGAGAGACCAGACAGAGGCUACUGCAGCAAGCUUAACCAAUGGCUGCCACCCCAUGGUCUCCUGGGACCCUGGACCUUCUUUGUCCUAAUCCUGAGGGAUGCCCUGGCCAGACCGGGCCAGAGAGAGGGACCCACACGCCAUCGCCACCUCUACUAGCUCUGGCUGAAUCCCAUGACACCCCCUGACAGCCAGGCAACGGGAUCAGACUUUAACAGCAACAUCAGCGUAGCUCAUCUCAGCUAACUUCUUCUCUGUUCCCCAAACUGACGGUUAUU